UGGCUUAUAACCUAGUUACCCUGUGUUGUAGGCCUUAAUAGUCUGGCAUUUGGACUCCACUCUUUCAGUGGAUAUUUAUGCAGAGGCUUUUAGGUGUCAGGCAUGGCCCUAGGCAAUAGGAAUAAAGGGUGAACAAAACGAAGUCCCUACCUUUGUAGAGCUUAUGUUCUUAUUUACUGGCACUGUGACCUUUCGCAAGCACCGUAACCUCUUCAGACUGCACCAGCACAAGGGCAGCACCAUCUGCUUUGCAAAAAUUAUUCCCAGGUUUACAUGAACUAGUGUGAUAAGGUGCAUAGUCCGGUGCCAGGAACACA